UCAGAUAGAGGAACCUACAGAUGGCCUUGAAAGCACGGAAAGCGGGGAAAUGGAUAUCAAGGAAUUAACUUCUGGCGUUUCCAGUUCGGAAUGGGGCACAGGCACUUUGGAAGUUGGCGAAUUUCGUCCAUAUCCAAACAACCAGCUGAUAACUU